rnacentral:rRNA from 2 species
UUUUCGCAAUGGGCGAAAGCCUGAUGGAGCAAUACCGCGUGAGGGAUGAAGCAUCGUGGUGUGUAAACCUCUUUUCUUAAGGAAGAAUCAAUGACGGUACUUAAGGAAUAAGCACCGGCUAACUCUGUGCCAGCAGCCGCGGUAAUACAGAGGGUGCAAGCGUUGUCCGGAAUGAUUGGGCGUAAAGCAUCUGUAGGUGGUUUCUAAAGUCAACUGUUAAAUCCCAGAGCUCAACUUUGGUCGAGCAGUUGAGUACUUAGGGACUUGAGUACGGUAGGGGUAGAGGGAAUUCCUUGUUUAGCGGUGAAAUGCAUAGAGAUAAGGAAGAACACCAGCGGCGAAGGCGCUCUACUGGGCCGUACCUGACACUGACAGAUGAAAGUUAGGG